rnacentral:misc_RNA from 1 species
UUAGCGGCAUUGUGGCUGCUAAGGUUUGAGAGUAUUUUAAUUUGAAUAUUCUUUAAUUUGGAGAUUUAGAUUUGUGUUAUUUAAGCUUCAUUCUAUGAAACUAUGAUUGCUAUGCUCCAAGUUGAGGUUUUCGAAUGUUUCAAAAAAGAAAAUUAAACGGCACUGAAUUGGUGACUUUGUUCUUGUAUUUUGUGUUUUGAGAGUGUAUCGAACUGAGGUAGUUAGUUACUAGA